rnacentral:rRNA from 2 species
GUGAAUUGCAGAAUCCCGUGAACCAUCGAGUCUUUGAACGCAAGUUGCGCCCGAAGCCAUUAGGCCGAGGGCACGUCUGCCUGGGCGUCACGC